CCAAAUCAAUUCCGUCAACAUGAAUCUCAUCUUAUCCCCACCGCUCCUACUCCACUACUUGUCUUCUUCUCUCUACGAAAACCGGCGUCAUCAUCGUUCUUCGUUAUUUCCUCUUUUAAACCCUAAUCUUCUUUUUUCCAGUCUAUCAAUAGCUGUGUUGUGAGGAACCCGUGGCGUCUCUCCAAAUAAAUGCCACCCAAUUGGAAUUUCAAAUAUUGAAUUCAAACACUCUUCCAUCUCUCUCCCUAUAUUCUCUAAACCCUAACUCCACCAUUUAUCAAUUUUUUUCGAUGAAGCUCCAAAACAAAGCAAAAUAAGAACGAAUUAAGGUAUUUACUGCUAGAACAGGUUUGUUUUGAUUUUUCUCUUUUUAUCCCUACCCCGUUCUCUCUUUGGGUUUUAGAUUUAAAUAGAUUGUGUUAUUUUGAACAUUUUUGGUGCUUUAAAUGUUUAGGGUUAUGUUUUAGCAAAAUUUUUAGCAUUUCGUCGUAUUUAACAUCAAGGUUGCUAUUUGGUUUUCAAAACAUUUAGAUCCUCGGUGUCCUUGAAAAGCGCUUCCCAGGAGGUUUAUCAGAAAGCUGCCAUCUAGAAUCAUUAUGAGAAUGAUGGAAAUUCUGAUAAGGUGCUACUAACUAAUCCUAAAAAAUCUUUUAUUUAUUUGUUUUUUUUGUACGAAUUAGGACAUUUCUUCGUAAUAUUGUUGUAUUGUGUGCUAAAUCUUUAAGCCUUUAUAUUCAUCUUUUUAAUCUAUGAAGAACAUAGGAAUGAUUCUACCUCAAUACGAUAAUAAUUUCAUUUCAUUCAAUAUGUUUUUAAAAUUAUCAAAUUUUGAUAGGUCUAUACUCUACAAUAUAUAUUUCAGACUUCUUGGCACCAAUUUCCAUGUUCCUGUAAAAUUAAAUUAGACUUAUCAAUUUCUAUCACAGAUCAAUUUGGUAGCUAUUAUUUGGUCUCGUAUAUUAAUACUCCGCAGUGUUUUCUUUUCUGUAGAUUUGGCAUCACAAACCACGAAACUAUUUUGUUGUGGUUUUUAGUUAAUUGAUUGGUUUGAUUUAAGGUAGCUAAGUUACUUUUGGGCUUGAAAGAAAUGGUAAAUUGCACAACAAUGGAACAUACUAUCAAUCGACCUGUAUGUCCUUUCAAAAUCAAUGUAAAGGGCUUAUGUCAGUAGUGUAUAAUUAACUUAAUCACUAAUUACCACCCACGUCUUUGUCAAAGAACAGUCUACAAGUCUAUCCUAAAGUAAUCACAAAUCCAAAAGUUUUUUUUUUCUUUUGAUUUUCUUAUCCAAUCUCCUAUAAAACUAUCUUAUGUAUGUUAUAAUUCGGGUUGAAAGCAAGAGAUAGCAAAGUAGUUGUAAUCUCACCUGACCGGCAAAGGAUCAGCACGUUCAAGGACACUAUCGAUAUUCGAGUGUUGUUAUAAAAGCAUAUUUUAGUCAUCAAGAAAAGAUAUUAAAUUAUAGCUUUUAUAAGAUGUAGAUAUAAAUUUUUGGGAUUUAGGAACGUGACUAGCACUCAAUUGAGUAAAUCAUAUUGACAUUCCAGUCAAACAUGUGACCAUGUGAUGAUUAAUAUAACAUUGUGUUUCAGUGUUUCACAGAUAUGUGGAUCGUGCUGUUUCUGUGGAAGUUUAACAAGCUGAAAGAAAAUGUUUAAAAUUUUAAUAAUUCAACUUUUUAGCUGCCAGUUAAACAAUACAUUAUAGACUAUAGACUGUUGCCAACAAAUGAUGAUGGAAAGAAUUUUGCUGUGGUAUCUCUCAUCUCUCAGACAAGUAAAAUGGCAUCUUACUUUCUUUUUUACUACUAUGACAACCUCAUGUGCUACACUUUGUUUGCUUUUGCCAUUUGAAGUAAUAAUAACUUUUGAUGGUAUUGAGGCCUUCAAGUUCCUAUUUUCAAAGGAUGUAAUAAAUGAAAUGACACAGAAAAAGUAUCUAAAUUUGUUUAGUUGGGGUUAAAUAAGUAAUUAUCAAUUAGGAGUGAAAAAUAUGUUUCUUUUUUAUGUAGGUUUGACAAUUCUUAAAUAGAUAUGUGUUGGUGUCACUACCAAAUAUAUAACUCAACUAUCUUUGUUGGCAAGUUUUGACCAUUCUUAUCAAUUAAGAGUGAAGAAUAUGUCUCUUUUAUAAAAAAAAAUAAUGUUUGUUUUUUCUUUAAAUGUUAAAAAUUAUUUGAAUGCAAAAAUCCGAACUGAAAUCCGUCUCACAUUUGGAUUAAAAAAAUAAGUUUUUUUUUUUUUUUUUUUAAUAAAUUGAAACAAUUUUGUGUGGCUUUUUGUUCACAUUAGUUUACUGUUUUAGUGUUUUGUUUGUAGAUGCCAUGAUUUAUGUAAAAAAAUUAUUGAUUUUACUAAGAGCAUUAAUGUUUUCAUUUUUUAACCAUGUAGGAGUAUUCAAAAAUAUGCUUUUCAGGUUCUCUUCUUAUGAUGACUUAUUGAAGAGCUGUAAAUUUAUUUUCAGUCAUUUGAUAGGGCUGGUUAUGGAAAUAUUUAUUCACAUCUAAAGCGUUUUGUCAACAAGUGAAACAUUUGAUCUUAAAGAACUAGCCGAUAAGUUACAAAUUGGCUCCAAAUAAUCAGUCAAUUUAAUUUGCUUUUUAACUAAACGUUGUUUGAUAAAACUUAUUAAUGUUAAAGCUUUUAAUAUCAUAAUGCUUAAAUAAUGGUAGAGUUUUUUUAAACAGUUUAGAGGUUGUCUAUAUUAUUUUAAUUGCUCAAAGGUGUUCAAAUGUUGUAUUUAAUGACAUUUUUUUUAUUUGUCCAGUUCAACCGGGUAGAGGUACUGGGUUAUAUACCCAUGUAGAUGAAGGUCGUGGGUUCUACUCCUGGCUGGAUCAUAUGUGGGUGAUUUUUCCGAGAGCGGUAGCUGAGUUUAGAUCCAAGUUAAUGCGUGAAGCCCCACAAAGGGAAACUGGGUGCAAGUGGUUAUUCUCCUUGGAGAGGUUUCGAUCUCGGAUCUUCGUGACUAG
rnacentral:lncRNA from 1 species